UGGUUCUCCCCGAAAGCUAUUUAGGUAGCGCCUCGUGAAUUCAUCUCCGGGGGUAGAGCACUGUUUCGGCUAGGGGGCCAUCCCGGCUUACCAACCCGAUGCAAACUGCGAAUACCGGAGAAUGUUAUCACGGGAGACACACGGCGGGUGCUAACGUCCGUCGUGAAGAGGGAAACAACCCAGACCGCCAGCUAAGGUCCCAAAGUCAUGGUUAAGUGGGAAACGAUGUGGGAAGGCCCAGACAGCCAGGAUGUUGGCUUAGAAGCAGCCAUCAUUUAAAGAAAGCGUAAUAGCUCACUGGUCGAGUCGGCCUGCGCGGAAGAUGUAACGGGGCUAAACCAUGCACCGAAGCUGCGGCAGCGAACGUAUCACCCAAGACAACUUUACGGAGUUGACGAUUGACGGAGCGAAGCGACGUCAAAGCGUUCAUUAAAGUCGAGUUGGCUUAGGGAUACGUUCGUUGGGUAGGGGAGCGUUCUGUAAGCCUGUGAAGGUGUGUCGUGAGGCAUGCUGGAGGUAUCAGAAGUGCGAAUGCUGACAUAAGUAACGAUAAAGCGGGUGAAAAGCCCGCUCGCCGGAAGACCAAGGGUUCCUGUCCAACGUUAAUCGGGGCAGGGUGAGUCGACCCCUAAGGCGAGGCCGAAAGGCGUAGUCGAUGGGAAACGGGUUAAUAUUCCCGUACUUGGUGUUACUGCGAAGGGGGGACGGAGAAGGCUAUGUUGGCCGGGCGACGGUUGUCCCGGUUUAAGCGUGUAGGUGUGUGUUCCAGGUAAAUCCGGUUCACUUUAACACUGAGGCGUGACGACGAGGCACUACGGUGCUGAAGCAACAAAUGCCCUGCUUCCAGGAAAAGCCUCUAAGCAUCAGGUAACAUCAAAUCGUACCCCAAACCGACACAGGUGGUCAGGUAGAGAAUACCAAGGCGCUUGAGAGAACUCGGGUGAAGGAACUAGGCAAAAUGGUGCCGUAACUUCGGGAGAAGGCACGCUGACACGUAGGUGAAGUGAUUUACUCAUGGAGCUGAAGUCAGUCGAAGAUACCAGCUGGCUGCAACUGUUUAUUAAAAACACAGCACUGUGCAAACACGAAAGUGGACGUAUACGGUGUGACGCCUGCCCGGUGCCGGAA
rnacentral:rRNA from 1 species